GGACGUGGGAGAGACCUGGCUGUGGCAUGUGACCUCACUGAUGGCCAGGGUGGAUCGGCUGACCUGGCGGGAGAGGUGGGUGUCUCCUUCCUCCCUUGUGGCUCUGUGUGUGUCCCUCCUGAAGCCAUGUUCUCUGUCAAAGAGGAGGGCCUUCCCCACAGAAGAGGGCCAGGAUCCACGCGAGCAUGUGAACAGCUGAGUUCCCUCAUAGAACCCAGGGAGCUGGCCCUGUGGACACAGCAGCCACAGCCCCUGGACGUUUCUCAGUUCCCAGAUGGGUCAUUUCA
rnacentral:snRNA from 1 species